rnacentral:rRNA from 1 species
UACGUAGGGGCCAAGCGUUGUCCGGCUUUAUUGGGCGUAAAGGGUGCGUAGGCGGGUCUUUAAGUCAGGGGUGAAAUCCUGGAGCUCAACUCCAGAACUGCCUUUGAUACUGAGGAUCUUGAGUUCGGGAGAGGUGAGUGGAACUGCGAGUGUAGAGGUGAAAUUCGUAGAUAUUCGCAAGAACACCAGUGGCGAAGGCGGCUCACUGGCCCGGUACUGACGCUGAGGUGCGAAAGCGUGGGGAGCAAACAGG